GGGAAUUCACCAAAAGCCACCAAAAUCAUAAGCAACUCACAAGGAGAGCAAAUAAAGGAAGAUGUGGCAAUUCAGUUUAACCAAGCUCAACAGAACUCUUCAUAUGCAACUCAAGUAUCAACUUCUACAUGAAGACUUUCCUGAUCUUCCAGCUGCUAAAACUACCCCCUCCUUAACCUCAUCAUAUUUAUUGGAAUUUAGCCUCUUAAUGCUUAUUUUGUAAAUAUUCUAAGCUCUUGACCAAAUGUAGAAAAUAGUGAUUACCCCAUUCUUUGUCUUAGAAUCCCCAGAUAGCCUAGUAUCUGACACAUAGUACUCACUUUACAUAUGCUUUGUUUAUAGAUUGAAUGGGAAGGGGCUUUCCCAAGCACAGCAAUUACCUCCAGUGAUUUAUGAAGGGACUAUAUAACUCAUGCAUCCAUUUAAUUUGGAGUGGAAGACUAUCCAGGAACUAAAUUCACAAUGUUUUGUUUCUCUGUGGUGACCACGUGCCAAAUAUUGGCUGCUAUUACAACAUAAUUCUUUGGGUAUCUGUACUCAUUAAAAGUACUUAAAAAUACCUAGGACAGUAAACCACCAGAUGAUUUUUUUCAAGCCCCAGUUACUCAUGAAGCAUAACUACUAAGGGGAGUCCUCCUACCAAUCAUAUCAUAGCUACUUAAAGUGUUUACAAGUCAUUUUACUUCUCAAUGCUCUGAACAACUUUCUAUACUAGAAGUUAAAAAUAAGUUAUGGACUUAGGAACAUUGAGCUUCCUCAUUCAGUAGUAUCCUAUAUAAAUGGCAUCAUAAUGGCACUAUCCCUAUGCUUAUUUCAGCAAAGGAACAGGAAGGAAAGGUACUAGUCUCACUUUAUUUUGUCUUAUAAGACCAUAUCUAGAAUAUCAUCCUCAGUUUCCAGUAUAUUUUAGGCAGGGAGGAGAGCCCCUGAAAACAUACCUUGCACACAAGGCUCUCUCCAAGGAACUGGGGAUAUUUUGUUUAGAGGAAAGAAAACUGGGAGCAGUGUUGCAGUAGGGUUGGGAAACUGGACAUCAACAUGGAUCUGAAGGUUUCCCAUUUGGGAGAAGCAUAGUAGAAUGUAGAGGGAGUGAAAUGGAGAAUAUGGCUUUAAUUCCUUUUUGUGCCACUUACUACAUGUGUAGUCUUUGGGUAAAACAUUUUACCUAACUGGGCAUCUGGAAAAUGGGAAGAUCUCCAAGUUCCCUGGUAGCUCUAAAUUUAUGAUACUAAGGUCCUGUGACUUGUUUUGCCUAAAAGCAGAACUAGCAAUAAUAAAUAUAAAGUACAAAGAACCA
rnacentral:lncRNA from 1 species